CGUGCUAAUCUGCGAUAAGCGCCGGUAAGGUGAUAUGAACCGUUAUAACCGGCGAUACCCGAAUGGGGAAACCCAGUGUGAUUCGUCACACUAUCAUUAACUGAAUCCAUAGGUUAAUGAGGCGAACCGGGGGAACUGAAACAUCUAAGUACCCCGAGGAAAAGAAAUCAACCGAGAUUCCCCCAGUAGCGGCGAGCGAACGGGGAGGAGCCCAGAGCCUGAAUCAGCAUGUGUGUUAGUGGAAGCGUCUGGAAAGGCGCGCGAUACAGGGUGACAGCCCCGUACACAAAAGCGCAUGUGCUGUGAGCUCGAUGAGUAGGGCGGGACACGUGGUAUCCUGUCUGAAUAUGGGGGGACCAUCCUCCAAGGCUAAAUACUCCUGACUGACCGAUAGUGAACCAGUACCGUGAGGGAAAGGCGAAAAGAACCCCGGCGAGGGGAGUGAAAAAGAACCUGAAACCGUGUACGUACAAGCAGUGGGAGCCCCACCAC
rnacentral:rRNA from 1 species